rnacentral:rRNA from 1 species
AUUGAACGCUGGCGGCAGGCUUAACACUUGCAAGUCGAACGAGUGGCGGACGGGUUAGUAAUGUCUGGGAAACUGCCUGAUGGUGGGGGAUAACUACUGGAAACGGUCGCUAAUACCGCAUACCAUCGGAUGUGCCUAGAUGGGAUUUGCUAGUAGGGGGGGUAACGGCUCACCUAGGCGACGAUCCCUAGCUGGUCUGAGAGGAUGACCAGCCAAACUGGAACUGAGACACGGUCCAGACUCCUACGGGAGGCAGCAGUGGGGAAUAUUGCACAAUGGGCGAAAGCCGGAUGCAGCCAUGCCGCGUGUAUGAAGAAGGCCUUCGGGUUGUAAAGUACUUUCAGCGGGGAGGCGUUACCCGCAGAAGAAGCACCGGCUAACUCCGUGCCAGCAGCCGCGGUAAUUC